rnacentral:rRNA from 1 species
AAUCAACGCUGGCGGCGUGCCUCAGACAUGCAAGUCGAACGAUUAAAGCUCUCUUCGGAGAGUGUAUAGAGUGGCGCACGGGUGAGUAACACGUAAGUAAUCUACCCUCGAGUGGGGAAUAACGUCCGGAAACGGACGCUAAUACCGCAUAAUGCAGCGGCACCGCAAGGUGACAGUUGUUAAAGGAGAAAUUCGCUUGAGGAGGAGCUUGCGGCAGAUUAGCUUGUUGGUAAGGUAACGGCUUACCAAGGCUACGAUCUGUAACCGGUCUUAGAGGACGGUCGGUCACACUGACACUGAAUAACGGGUCAGACUCCUACGGGAGGCAGCAGUCGGGAAUUUUGGGCAAUGGGCGAAAGCCUGACCCAGCAACGCCGCGUGAAGGAUGAAGUAUUUCGGUAUGUAAACUUCGAAAGAAUAGGAAGAAUAAAUGACGGUACUAUUUAUAAGGUCCGGCUAACUACGUGCCAGCAGCAGCCGCGGU